ACAAAGAGAGGGGCCAGGCAGGUUGAAGCUGUCUGUUUCAAGCAUACCAUUGACUAAAGAUAUAAUACUAAAGAAUCCAAUAGUAAUAUGUAUGCUUAAUCAAAUAUCAGAGGAAAUGAAAAGGGAAAAAAUAAUCUAUAACUCUGUAUGCUUAAUCAAAUAUCAAAGGAAAUGAAAAGGGAAAAAAUAAUCUCUAACACUCCAUAUAAAAGUUUCCCAAUAAGGUGAAAAAUAAAGAUACAUACCGAGUACAAUAGAAGUAUCUAAGUCAUGUGUAUGCUUAAUCAAAUAUCAAAGGAAAUGAAAAGGGAAAAAAUAAUCUCUAACUCCAUA